rnacentral:tRNA from 1 species
UCCCUGGUGGCUCAAAUGGUAAAGAAUCCACUUGUAAUGUGGGAGGCAUGGGUUCAAUCCCUGGCUUGGGAA